UACAUUCUAAGGAGUGAAGGUUCAAAUCAGU
rnacentral:piRNA from 1 species